CGGGACACGUGGUAUCCUGUCUGAAUAUGGGGGGACCAUCCUCCAAGGCUAAAUACUCCUGACUGACCGAUAGUGAACCAGUACCGUGAGGGAAAGGCGAAAAGAACCCCGGCGAGGGGAGUGAAAAAGAACCUGAAACCGUGUACGUACAAGCAGUGGGAGCCUCUUUAUGGGGUGACUGCGUACCUUUUGUAUAAUGGGUCAGCGACUUAUAUUCUGUAGCAAGGUUAACCGAAUAGGGGAGCCGAAGGGAAACCGAGUCUUAACUGGGCGUUAAGUUGCAGGGUAUAGACCCGAAACCCGGUGAUCUAGCCAUGGGCAGGUUGAAGGUUGGGUAACACUAACUGGAGGACCGAACCGACUAAUGUUGAAAAAUUAGCGGAUGACUUGUGGCUGGGGGUGAAAGGCCAAUCAAACCGGGAGAUAGCUGGUUCUCCCCGAAAGCUAUUUAGGUAGCGCCUCGUGAAUUCAUCUCCGGGGGUAGAGCACUGUUUCGGCAAGGGGGUCAUCCCGACUUACCAACCCGAUGCAAACUGCGAAUACCGGAGAAUGUUAUCACGGGAGACACACGGCGGGUGCUAACGUCCGUCGUGAAGAGGGAAACAACCCAGACCGCCAGCUAAGGUCCCAAAGUCAUGGUUAAGUGGGAAACGAUGUGGGAAGGCCCAGACAGCCAGGAUGUUGGCUUAGAAGCAGCCAUCAUUUAAAGAAAGCGUAAUAGCUCACUGGUCGAGUCGGCCUGCGCGGAAGAUGUAACGGGGCUAAACCAUGCACCGAAGCUGCGGCAGCGACGCUUAUGCGUUGUUGGGUAGGGGAGCGUUCUGUAAGCCUGCGAAGGUGUGCUGUGAGGCAUGCUGGAGGUAUCAGAAGUGCGAAUGCUGACAUAAGUAACGAUAAAGCGGGUGAAAAGCCCGCUCGCCGGAAGACCAAGGGUUCCUGUCCAACGUUAAUCGGGGCAGGGUGAGUCGACCCCUAAGGCGAGGCCGAAAGGCGUAGUCGAUGGGAAACAGGUUAAUAUUCCUGUACUUGGUGUUACUGCGAAGGGGGGACGGAGAAGGCUAUGUUGGCCGGGCGACGGUUGUCCCGGUUUAAGCGUGUAGGCUGGUUUUCCAGGCAAAUCCGGAAAAUCAAGGCUGAGGCGUGAUGACGAGGCACUACGGUGCUGAAGCAACAAAUGCCCUGCUUCCAGGAAAAGCCUCUAAGCAUCAGGUAACAUCAAAUCGUACCCCAAACCGACACAGGUGGUCAGGUAGAGAAUACCAAGGCGCUUGAGAGAACUCGGGUGAAGGAACUAGGCAAAAUGGUGCCGUAACUUCGGGAGAAGGCACGCUGAUAUGUAGGUGAAGCGACUUGCUCGUGGAGCUGAAAUCAGUCGAAGAUACCAGCUGGCUGCAACUGUUUAUUAAAAACACAGCACUGUGCAAACACGAAAGUGGACGUAUACGGUGUGACGCCUGCCCGGUGCCGGAAGGUUAAUUGAUGGGGUUAGCGGUAACGCGAAGCUCUUGAUCGAAGCCCCGGUAAACGGCGGCCGUAACUAUAACGGUCCUAAGGUAGCGAAAUUCCUUGUCGGGUAAGUUCCGACCUGCACGAAUGGCGUAAUGAUGGCCAGGCUGUCUCCACCCGAGACUCAGUGAAAUUGAACUCGCUGUGAAGAUGCAGUGUACCCGCGGCAAGACGGAAAGACCCCGUGAACCUUUACUAUAGCUUGACACUGAACAUUGAGCCUUGAUGUGUAGGAUAGGUGGGAGGCUUUGAAGUGUGGACGCCAGUCUGCAUGGAGCCGGCCUUGAAAUACCACCCUUUAAUGUUUGAUGUUCUAACGUUGGCCCCUGAUCGGGGUUGCGGACAGUGUCUGGUGGGUAGUUUGACUGGGGCGGUCUCCUCCUAAAGAGUAACGGAGGAGCACGAAGGUUGGCUAAUCCUGGUCGGACAUCAGGAGGUUAGUGCAAUGGCAUAAGCCAGCUUGACUGCGAGCGUGACGGCGCGAGCAGGUGCGAAAGCAGGUCAUAGUGAUCCGGUGGUUCUGAAUGGAAGGGCCAUCGCUCAACGGAUAAAAGGUACUCCGGGGAUAACAGGCUGAUACCGCCCAAGAGUUCAUAUCGACGGCGGUGUUUGGCACCUCGAUGUCGGCUCAUCACAUCCUGGGGCUGAAGUAGGUCCCAAGGGUAUGGCUGUUCGCCAUUUAAAGUGGUACGCGAGCUGGGUUUAGAACGUCGUGAGACAGUUCGGUCCCUAUCUGCCGUGGGCGCUGGAGAACUGAGGGGGGCUGCUCCUAGUACGAGAGGACCGGAGUGGACGCAUCACUGGUGUUCGGGUUGUCAUGCCAAUGGCACUGCCCGGUAGCUAAAUGCGGAAGAGAUAAGUGCUGAAAGCAUCUAAGCACGAAACUUGCCCCGAGAUGAGUUCUCCCUGAGACUUUAAGUCUCCUGAAGGAACGUUGAAGACGACGACGUUGAUAGGCCGGGUGUGUAAGCGCAGCGAUGCGUUGAGCUAACCGGUACUAAUGAACCGUGAGGCUUAACCUU
rnacentral:rRNA from 1 species